AGUCAGCAUGGGAGGUCGUCUGAACCCGCUAGACAGAGCUCAGGACCGUGGCCAAAUGGCUCGAGGUUUUGGGCGCUCGGCGAGGAAGAAAGCUCGGAUGAGGAAGCAGUUCUAGGGGAGCAAAAGGAAGUAGCUAGGAGAGGGGUUAAAGCCAAGGAGGAUCAAGGGGAUGAAGAGAAAUUCAUUCAGAAGAUCUUAGAAAGGGGCUUGGCGGUGGAUGACAUUGUCAGGACCGGUGAGCACCUUAGAAGGAAUUUAUGGCGAAAAUCAAAGUCGCUUCAGAAGAGGGCAAACUCGACAAGAGCUGCUCUUUGCGUUUCUGACUCGGCGUUUGAGCAAACAAAUCGGCUUUGUAAUCCAUGGAAGGGACCGUUGCCAAAAGCUAGGAUUUCGCAACAGCUCACGAUUGGAGAUAAGAUUGUUGAGGCUCUAGCUACUAAGUCUAGCGUUUACUCAGAGCCAGCAACAAUUUCAGUCAAAAGCAAUCAAGACAGAGAUGCCGUUUCGGACGGGAAGAAAGUUUUCCUAACGGAGAGGCCGGCGAACCUCGGAAGCACAGCCGGAAAACGAAGUAAAGAAGAUGCUUCGGUGUCUGCGCGUCUUCUUCUCGAGCGCCAUAUCGAGAAAGGAGGAAGGGCGGCGGCAGUAAACUCACGAACAGAGGACUGGGCGCAAUGCUUUUGGUGCGCGUUUCUCUCGUGGAGGCAGCCAACAUCAUCAGGGGGUGGUGGCCUCAAGAAGAACCUUGAUGCACCAGUGACAGGAAAGAAUGGAGGAAGCAACACGGUGUCGGAGAUUGGAAAGAAAGGAGAGAAACAUCAAAGUAAGGAACUAGGAAAGGAUGUUGGAGGAAGCAAAGGUGCAGGGCAAAUCAAAAUCGGUGAGGUGGAGGUUCCUGUGACUUCAAAGGGGAAGAGUGGAGAUUCUCCGGAAUUUAGGGACAGAGAAGGAGAAGUUACGAGGGGAGGAACAAAGGUGAAGGUAUAUGCUAAAUGUACUCAAAAAGGUCAUGUGUUUGCUGAUUGCAAGAUAGAUGUGUAUUGUGACAUUUGUGAUUCAGUCGAGCAUGUCAAUCAUAAGUGCCCGGUACUGAAAUUUGCAAAGCCGGUUGUCCAAGCUGUGGGUUAUGCGGUUGAUGGCCUAGGGUUUCAGCAUAUACCGCAUCAACCGUUACAAAGGAGCAAGAAGGGUACGAAAAAGGCACUAGUGCGAGUGGUGGGUGGUUCACUUACUAUAGAAAAGUUAGUCGCUCUAUUGCACAAAUUGUGUCCAGCAAAAUGGAAAUGGGAGCCAGUGCCGCAAGGGGAGGAAGCUUUUGUGAUUCUUUUCCCUUUGAAAAGUGAGAUGCAGCGAGCCAUCAACUUUGGAGGGGCUGAUGUGAAGGAAGGAGGGAAGGAGAGGGACAAUAAAAGGACCAAGAACAAUGGCAUGGUUGUCGAUGACAACAAAGAAGAUUAUGAAAAGGAGAAAGAUGAGGUGCAGCAAUAUGGUGAGCAAAGGAAAGAGGAUGACAUUGAGGAGAUGGCCGAAAAAAUAGUGGACGUGUUAGUUGAGAGGCUGUUAGGUGAGGUGUAUGAGAGGGUGGAGAGGGAGGAGGAGAUCAUGGAGGGGACAGAUUUGCAGCAGGAAAAGGUGGAACAACUAGCCAACAUUGAAGAGGUUUUGGUGACACCAAAAAGAGCAAGUGAAAGGUUGGUGGGCAGCGGUGGGAGACACUCCCUUGAAAAGGCGAAAACAAGGAAGGCUUGGAUGAAUCUCGACUCUGUUUCAGAUAGACAAGUUGAUUCUUUUAGUGCUUCAGACAAGGAGGAGGAGGAGGAAAGUGUAGAUCAUGUUUUGCUUAAUCAUUUCUGUGGUGACAUUAUGGAU
rnacentral:lncRNA from 1 species